rnacentral:rRNA from 1 species
UAGGGAAUCUUCCACAACGGACGCAAGUCUGAUGGAGCAACGCCGCGUGAGUGAAGAAGGUUUUCGGAUCGUAAAGCUCUGUUGUUGGUGAAGAAGGAUAGAGGUAGUAACUGGCCUUUAUUUGACGGUAAUCAACCAGAAAGUCACGGCUAACUACGUGCCAG